UGCUCCAGCUCGGAGGCACGGCGGCUCUUGUUGAACCUCAGCGGCCCGGCGCUCCCGCUGCAUAUCAGACACGCGGCAGCUCCCGCUGCAGCUCAGAGGCGCGGCGGCUCCUGUUGAACCUCAGCGGCCCGGCGCUCCCACUGCAUAUCGGACACGCGGCAGCUCCGGCUGCAGCACGGAGGCUCCAGCUGCAUCUCGGUGGGGCGGCGGCUCCCGGCGGCCCUAGCAGACACGGGGGGAUCCCAACUGAAUCUCGAGGGAAGACCGUGACCGGCGAUGAAGCUCCUCGCAUCACCUCCGCCGCCGCUGUUCCCAUCCACUGCCACCGUUCAGGUUUGUUCAUUACUCACCUGCUUCGCUACAAGUGUGGUGUCCGAUUUUCUGCGGACGACAAGUAUCUAAGACGAUUGGAGGUUCUUGCUGCGUUGUAUUGUUGCUGCUCCUGUUAAUGCACAUGUAUCCGACAAAAAAUCAUACAGGGUGCCCAAACGCAGCUGUUGAGUAAAUGCAUACAUAGUCAUGGGUUGCCUACGCCGUGGGUCCGCCGGCCGGCCAUGAGGAGCUCGCACGCCCGGAAGAAGCCACUUGCGAAGUCGCGAUGCCAUAGCAAGCUAGCGCACGGCAUGGAAUCAGAAUCCGCCCUAUGGCAGCCCAGGAUAUAUAAAAAAAGGAAAUUGCUAGAAAGGAAGUAGAAUAAAUUCCCCUGUUAUUAGGCAAAAAAGGAAGGAAUUUAAAAUAAGAAAUAAAUUCCGUUAGAAAUUAAAAUGCUAGCCUGUGGAGGAGCUCUUGGCAAGCAACCAUGUUUCGGAAUCUCAUUGUAAUGUUGUUUUCAAUGUCCUAUGAGGUCCAUAUAUAUUAUGCU